UCCCCCAUCUUGCUUGUCCCCCAAUCUGUCAGCUCACUUCUUUUCCCUUGGGUUCAGUCUGAAUCUUUAGAUUAGACUCGGUAUCCUACCAUCUCUGCCGCAUCCCUGAACCUCCAUAACAAGCGAUGUUGAUCAGUUUUUUUGGUAUUCCAUACUCCUCAUAUCCUACUUCAAUUGGCUGAUGGGAUCAGUCUCAUAGUGUUUUUGGUUACAAUUAGCGAGCGUUGUACAUCUGCGUCAUAUCCUGCUUCAAUCGGCUGAACCUACAUAGUGUAUUUAAUUGCAGUAUGAUGUUCACAGCAGGGGCAGAGCUACUAGGAGCCUCCCUAAUGCACAGGCAUCAGGGUCGAUGUUGAUUUCUUGAAACGAUUGUGUAGAGUUGUUUGGCCGUGCACCAGGUUAGGCUGACAGCGGUGCAUCAGGUAUAGGGAGAAUUCCACGGCGGCCUUGUUCGGAACUGGUUCAUGGGUAGGCCAGGUCUUGUUCAGACGUGGCCAGGCCUUGGCGUAGCCUUGUGGGCUGUAGCCUUUUGGGUAGGUUUGGUGUGGCUGGGCAUCAAGGCGUCAAUGCCCUUAGGUGUUGUAGCGUCACGCCGACACGCGAUCACUCGACGAACCACAGCGGAUGGCCGACGUUGCGCUGGGAUUUAGCUUUACGCCUAGCAUCAUCCAUGCUAAUCCGAUCAGUCACUGACCUCAGCUCCAACUCAAAGGUAGAGUAUGACGUAUAGAUGUAGUAAAUUUUAAAUCUCGGGUUAACCAUUGCAAAAAUUGUGCUUUUAGGCGGUAUCUUCUUUAGAUUUUUUUAGUUCUAUGUACGGGGAUAUUCUGAAGUUGAGAAUUCAGUUCAUUUACUUGACUUUAUCAAAUGUGGAUAACCACAAGACUGGAGACGGGAGACUUUGUGUAUAGUCUAAUAAUGUUGCAAUAAGUCGCUCCAUCGUCGUACUUUCCCUCCUUUUAUGCAAUAAUUGUUCAUUCCCAAUUUUUCAGAAACUAUUGCCAAUGUACUAAGUCUUAUUCAGAGAUUGUCAAUAUUGUUGGGCGUCUCCUGCUCUCCCUCUUUUAUAUUUGGUUGUUUGGUCUCACACUGAAGCUGCUAGAUGUAAUGUGGACUCAGGGCCAGAACAGAGAAGAAGCAGAGCGGCUAGACUCAGGAACGCAGCCAAAAGAACGCCGAUAACCGUAAGAAACAGAAGACAAAUUACAAAAUUGGAUCAAAAUCUUACUCGCAAGUAAGCUUUGAGAAGAGAAACUUGGAACUCACCCACACGAACAACGGAACAUGGUCUAACACAGAGUCCUAGAAAGUUUACAACAAAGCACGUCAAGAGGUUCAAAACAAAGAAACUGAAACUGAAGGUCCACUUUCAAGUGAGCAGAAAAACAAUAUUUUCCAGACCUCAUACAAACACACUCUGAAAUGCAAGUCAUCGCAGCCUCGUGGGUAUGGAUACAUGGCCAAACGUUCAACUGGUUCUUAAAGGUUUCGUAUCCAGAUUGAAGAGCAAGCCUACAACAUCCACCCAGCAGCAAAACUCUGAGCUCAGCCAACAGGUCAACGAAUUACAAGAUCAACUACAAGCUGAACAUGCAAACACACAAGAGAGGAUUAACUUGGAGCGUGCUGAGAGAGAACACUUGAGGAGAGGUUAAAAGAAGAGUGUACUGAAAGGGAAAGAUUGUUGGAAGAGGAGCGAACAUCAAGACUGGAAUUUGAAAAAAACAUGAUGACAAAGUUUGUAGCAUUGCCAACAGAUGGGAACCCAACAGGUGCCUAAUGAUUGACAAAGAAAAUAGUAACCCAAACUUGCAAAAUACUCUUUUAUAGAGAUCUAGUCCUAAUAAGACUCUAGGUUCAAGGCCAAUUAUUAUUUCUUCAAAUGCGCUCAUACAAGCUGCAGCAAGGAAUUCUUGAAUGUUUAAAGCAAUGGUAAGUCACAGCCGUACUUUCUCUUCAUGUUCACUUGCAUUUUAUACGUCAUUGGCAUUCAUAAUUAGCUAGCUGCUUCUUCUCUUUCACCAUGUGUUUUUGCUGCAUCGAGUCAGAACUUAAAAAAAUGAAUAUGUGCUAGCUAGGGACAUGAACUUGACUGAAACUAUACAUCGAGCCACAACUUAAAUCAAUAGCAGAACCUUUUAGUAGAUGUACUUGUGCUUAUGCUUUAGACAUUUACACUUGUGCUUUGGCGAUAGUUCCUUUUAACUAUGGGGCUGGAAUAAUUGUAUGGCAUAUGUUAUGUUGGACUCAUUAACUAGAACUUUUUUUAUUUCUUGAUUGCAUGAUUCAAAGAACUAGCUGGCCUGGACUCUAGAUCACAGACCGUUUAGUCUUCGAAAUUAAUUAGGAUGGCUAAAUUACAUCUGAGUUUCAUUUGAUGGAUAUUUGCUACGAGAAUUAUGAACUUUAUGAAUCUACAUAUUAUACGUAUGGUUUUGAAUAUUGUAAUUGAAUGCAUGUAUUUUUUUUACGGUUGCAAUAUGCUACAACCAACUUUCGGUUGCCACAUGUUAGCACCACUAAAAAAAGUGUUGCGUCAUAUUUCAGUCGUUAAGCCUACCUAUUUUGUUACACCAGGAUGUUGUAACGGAUCACUUCAUAUUGUCGCAAUAGCUUGGCACCACAAAAUGUUUCACGAUGCGAUAAUUGUUUUGUGCCACCAAAGUAAUUUUUGUUGAAAUAGAGUAUCACCACGGAAAUUAUAAAUUGACGCAAUAGUUUCUCGCUACGAACAUUUCACCUGUUGUGAUACCCAUUUAUCACCACCAAAACAAGUAUAUUGCAAUUUCUUGUUACGACGACUGAAAUAUUUGUUGCCAUAAGUUAAUGCCACAAGUAUAGUGGGUCAUGGCAACAUGCCUAAUGCCGCGAAAACAAGGAUUGUUGCCAUAGUUUAUUGCCACAACUGUAGUGGGUCGUCUCAAGAUGCCUAAUGCUACGAUAACAAGGAUUGUUGCCAUAGUUUUUUGCCACAAGUGUAGUGGGUCGUGGCAGCAUGCCUAAUGCCAUGAAAACAAGGAUUGUUGCCAUAGCUUAUUGCCACAGUUGACUAUUGCCACAGAAGAGUAAUGCGCCAUGAAACGGGCGUCGUUGGCAUAGGUUGUUGCCACAAAUGUCUAUCACCACGAGAUAUCAGGCGUCACGAUUCGUUUCAUGUUGCAUUAAAGCUAUAUCCACAAAUAUAAUUGUGGCAUCAAGUGAGUGUUGCCACGGGAAAACAUGUGGCAACUUCCCACAUGGAUGUUGCAAUAGCACACUUUAUUGCCACGAUUGCUUUUUCGUGAAAAUAACCUAUUACCAUGCAUCCAGUCACAACGUCUGCCAACGAAUGUCGUUUUGUGGCAAUAUGUACUUAUCGCCACGAAACGUCAUGUAUUGCGACAAACGAUUUUGUUGCAAUAGACCUGGAUCCUUGUAGUGUUGGAAGUUUCUAUACCUAGAAAACUUAACGAUGAGUGGGAACCUACUAUAAAGAUUAAAAUUAAAGAUCAUGAGUGUUAUGCUUUGUGUGAUUUGGG